UUUCAACUUGACUGGUCUACGGUGUGUC
rnacentral:piRNA from 1 species